AUGUGUCUGCAAGAGAUUGUUUAAGACUGUCACGCUGCACAAUCAAACCUUUGCCCUUGGUGACUGCUAUGCCAAGCUUCUCUCUUAGAGCUGACACCCGUUGCUCAGACUGUUCAACAUCAGCAACUUUCUCUUGAUAUUGCGAGCCAAUAUCUACACAUCAGCAACUUUCUCUUGAUAUUGCGAACCAAUAGCUACAACCUCUUCCUCAGCUCUCUUCAAACUUUCCCCAAGGACAACAACUUCAUUUUCACAUUGGACAAGUAAUAAGCUCAAGUGAUCCAUUUGUCCCUGCAG
rnacentral:lncRNA from 1 species